ensembl:lncRNA
UCCCUCUCCCCCUCUCUAUAUCUUUCUCUCUCUCUCUCUCUCUCUCUCUCUCUCUCUCUGUGUGUGUGUGUGUGUGUGUGUGUGCACGCAACUUUAUUGCUUUAAAGUUGAUGUUCUCAGCAUUUCAAUGGGAUCUAAGUUUAGCGGCACAGCUGCACCACUGGCCGACGGUAAUUCAUUUAUUUUAGUCAUCACUUUAUUCCAUUAGCUAAAACACACCACUAUGUCCAAAUCCGUCGGCGCGAACAGAGGGUGGCUCUCUUUCUCUGGCGGACGGGUGCGCUCUGAAAAAAAAAAAAAAAGCUCCAUACGCCAAACCAGAUCAGACAUGCUGAUUCGUUAUACGAAAUGACCAUCACCAACUGUCUGCUAAGAAGCCGAGAAAAGUGUUUUGUCUCCAUCACGCCACACUCGCCGAGUUUAUUAAGGCACGACUUCUGUUACGCAUAAUUGACGUCUCGUUCAAAAACGGCCCUGGUUAUUGGCUGUUGAAACGUUGACACUAGAUUAUGAGGAGUGUCAUGAUCCUCAGAGCUCCACGCUAAAUCAACAAAGGGUUCCUCUGCUCUGACUGUGUUUCUAAAUGGAAUUUUCUCUUUCAUGUCUAAAUUACAGUCCUGAACGUAAGAUAGUCUACUCACUUCACAAAUCUGCAUAGCUGACAGCUAUUUUUAAAGAAACGAACGGAUAAAUAAAACAAAAGAAAAGCCUUUACAGCUUGUGUCAAGCUCUUUUGGCCAAGUGAAGAGCACGUAUAGCGAACAACAGACCAUUUAACUAUAUUGCGCAUAAAGCUGUGCAGUUAGUGUCACGAAACUGAAAAUGGGAUAUCCAGCACGACGCGCUCCAUUAGAUAAGGCUGGUGUUUUAAGGAGUGACUGGAGAUGAAGAUGGACUGUUUGAGAGGACCUGCGAUAGCAACUUCCUGAUGCAACUCCACUGUAACCACAAGCCCUCACCUCGGCUCUGACACAACCAAACACCUAUUAUGAGACCUCGAACCCUUCUGAAUCUGUUGUUUUUAAACCUGUUUGCGAAUUUAAGAAAGCUUUCUUGAGGAGUGCUUGGUUCAUUAUCACACUCAAUGUCUAUACACAUAAUGAGUAGUAAGUGCUCGUAAGAGUUGAAGUGCUGUGGCGUUUCCAUAGUCUACCGGGUCCCGAACGGCUUCAUGGUGCGCGCAUCCCGCUCGGACAUGUCCUCUCCUUUGAAAACGGGUGUUGCUCGUAAAAAUCGGUUGACUGUGAGGUUGCUGUUAUGUAUAAUUGAUUUCUUGUCUUUGGAAUUGGAUGUUUAAAGUUUUUGUUCCGUGUAGUCCGUACGGGGUCGCGCGCUCGGUCGUUUUGUAUUUCUCUCGUGAAGUGGCACCGCUCCGCCUCCUGUGCGCGCAACAUUGAAGCUACGUAUAAAUACUGGAACAAAAAGAGAACUUCCUCAACAGCGACUGUUGUAACAACAGUAAGGGGGGGGGAGGUGUCCGAGUCGAUUUGGGACCAAAACAAACGUGUGAUGACUCUGUCCAUUUGAAAAGACGGGGGAUUUCACCUGGAUCGAAGUCCUGGAUUGCCCUUAACCCUGAAACAGCAGGAAAAAGAGAGAGAAGGAGAGACGGUGACAGUGUGUGCUUGUGUAUGUAUGGUGUGUGUGUGUGUGUAUGGUGUGUGUGUGUGUAUGUGUGUAUGGUGUGUGUGUGAGAGACACUCUCCAAGUGAUGCUGUAGCAGCACAGAAUGGUUUGUGGUUAUGCUGAGAUGCAGGCCGUACUGUGCUGCAGCAGUAAUGCUUAGGAACCCAACAAAAGUAUGUGUUCAUUUCUGUACUGUCAAAGUACAACUGAAUACUGCUCCACAGCUUUAAUGUGUGUGUGUGUGUGUACGUGUGUGUGUGUACGUGUGUGUGUGUGUGU